AUGGCAAAUGUGAGAUGCAGUGUAUGGAAUGUCAAAUUUCUAGUAUGAGAAAUUAACGAUUUAAGUCCUUCUUAAAUGAGGCCAUUUACCCAAAGAGGGUGCCAGGCCCGUAUAACGUUAAUGAUUACUAGAUGACAUUUCCAAAGAGUCGUGUUGCUUGAUAGUGCAGCACUAAGUGGGUGGUAAACUCCAUCUAAAACUAAAUAUAACCAUGAGACCGAUAGUAAACAAGUACCGUGAGGGAAAGUUGAAAAGAACUCUGAAUAGAGAGUUAAAUAGUACGUGAAACUGCUUAGAGGUUAAGCCCGAUGAACCUGAAUAUCCUUUAUGGAAAAUUCAUCAUUAUGAUUUUAAUAUUAAUAAUAUUAUAAUAAUGGUGUGCAUUUUUUCCAUAUAUGGACAUUGUAAUCUAUUAAUAUGAAAAUACAGAUUUAUUAUAAGAUCAUUAGCUUUAUGUUUAUUCAAAUUAUUUUGCUUUUGCAAUCUAACAUAGAAUAAAGGCUUUUGAUUUAAUAAAGUGUUGAUAGAUUUAUUAUAUAUAGUGCUUGAAUAUUUAUAUUCUAUAAUGGCAUAUUGAUCAUUGAUCUUUGUGUUUAUAUUAUAUGCGCUUAUAUGAUUAACAAUGCGAAAGAUUCAGGAUACCUUCGGGACCCGUCUUGAAACACGGACCAAGGAGUCUAACAUAUUUGCAAGUUAUUGGGAAUUAAAAACCUAAUAGCGAAAUUAACAUAACUUAUAUAUAAUGGGAUUAGUUUUUAGUUACUAUUUUUAAUAGUCUAUUAAUUCAAUCCCGGGGCGUUCUAUACAGUUAUGUAUAAUAAUAUUUAUAUUAUUUAUACCUCUAACUAGAGCGUACCUUGAGCAUAUAUGCUGUGACCCGAAAGAUGGUGAACUAUACUUGAUCAGGUUGAAGUCAGGGGAAACCCUG
rnacentral:rRNA from 1 species